UUUCCGUAGGUGAACCUGCGGAAGGAUCAUUCAUAAUAAGUGUUUUAUGGCACUUUUUUAAAUCCAUAUCCACCUUGUGUGCAAUGUCAGGGUUGAUUUUUCUCUCGAGAGGAUCAACCCCAAACAUCAACUAUAUCUCAACUCUUUGUCUGAAAAAUAUUAUGAAUAAAUCAAUUCAAAAUACAACUUUCAACAACGGAUCUCUUGGCUCUC
rnacentral:misc_RNA from 1 species